AAUUGGGUGCUGCAGCUGAGGAGAUGUGGACUCAGUCUCAAAUCCAACUCCCUGACUGACUAAAACUAGGGGGUUACACAGCAGGGAAGAAAUGUAACCGUGUGCAGGAAAACAGAAACUAGGGAGGGGCAAGGAAGCAAUCAUGGUGAAUGAGGGCUCUGCCAUCUCACCGUCAGCAUGCAGUGAUCUGCUGCUCCAACCAGCCAGGGGCUCAGAGCUCCCACUGAAAAGGCCACUUGCGGGUCCAUAAUCAGGGAUGUCCCCCUUCAGCUGGCCCAAGACCCUUACCAAGUCAUGGAAGACCUCAUGGUGCUGACAAUAUCAUCAGACAGAUAAUCAUGCCCUGAAGAGCAGCUACCAGCAACCUGCGCAUCUCAGCCAGCAAGAAAUUAUAUGUGGACCGUACUCUGGACUGGACUUUGCAAUUUUGCUAGAGUUCUAGGAAGCUAUUUUAGACAGGUCACAGGUCCCUUCCUGGAAUAUAUAUUGCUAUUCUCCUAGAUGGCCUUCCUUCCCACUUCUCCACCUUUCUCUUACAGAAUCAAUGCAAGAAAAUCCAUUGAGCUAGAGACCACCUUAAGCAUGAAAAAUGUGGAUGCAGCUUGAACCACAGCAUAAGCAGUCUCGAAUAUUUUAACAGUCUCUAGCUCUGCAAUAUCUAAAAUGUGAACUCUGUAACCUGGCAGCCCUAAUCAUGAGCAUGCAUAUCCACUGGAAACAAACACUGCCUUGUUUUUGGUUUUUGUUUUUGUUUUUUCCAUUGCUAUGCAGGGUUUCACACUCCCACGACACUCUGUGCUUUUGCUCUUUUGAUGGAGCAAACACUCUUUCCAUUUGCUCCACAACGAAGCGUUUCAAAGAUAAAGAUUUAUUAAAAGCCAGAUUGGGGUCAGUGUGAUAGAAAUUGGGGGACAUACUAAGACAGAAGUUUCAGGGACUCCAAUGUCUUCUCCUGUUUGCUUCCCUCAUCAUUAGAAUUGCAGUAUCUAUCGGCCCCCGAAACGCUGCCUGAUUGUGUUUGCUUUCCCUGAUUGGAUGCAAAAUGAAAAAUCUUCUUUCUCCAUGGACCGGCUGCUCUCUCCUCUAAUCGACUGCAUGCAUUGAAUCCCAAUUACAGGCUAGGAGCCUGAUGAAUUGACUUCAAGAAUAUUAAUUUAAUGCUUGAAAUGUCAGCAAAUAGAGUGGAGGUAUUACUCCAGGCCCAGCUUCUUGAAGUCUCCAUUUGACAGACUGUUUUUAAGGCAGCCUCUGCAUGGGAACACCAACUCCGUGAAGCACUGUGAAGCCAUCUAACAAAGCAAGUGGAAUGCACCCAAACUUUGAAAGCUCAGUCUCUGCUAAGUGGUUGCAUGAGUUAGAAUAAUCAGGCAAAGCGCGAGACAAUCUAGAGUCUAGAAAAUGUUGGUGGAUGCCUUCAUGAUUUCGGGAAGCCUUUUCAGCAUGAGCUCUGCUUUGCUUUUUAAAGAUAUUUUAUUUAUUUUAUUUUUUAGAGAGUAAAGGACACAUUGUUUUAUUGCACAGGGUCUCUGGUUAUAAUGCAGACCCCGGAACUAGGUUGCAAUGCCAUAGGCAUAUCUAGAAAUGUGAGUUCACAUCCAUUGAUACCAUAUGCACUUGCAGCUCCCUGUUGGGCUCAGAAAACAAUACCCCACAACGCAGGCCUCCACAGCAGCCUCAGAAGCCAAUGUUUCUCUCUGACCAUCUCCCGCCAACUGCCUCUCAGUCCCAUCCUCCUCCGAGGCACCACAGAAACUAGAAUCCCUCUUUCCCAAGGCGGGUCACAGAAACCAGAACCCUUUUUCCCCAGCGUGAGCCAUAAAACCUAAAAACUGGAAGCUAACUUUCCCUCUAUCCUAUCUGCAUAAAGACUGGCCAUAAAGAAAUUCCCUGACCUACCUUGUUUGACUGUAGGUCCUAAGACCCCCAACUCCAGAGAGGGUCCCGCCGCACACCCAGAAGGAAGGAGCGCUGCUCAGAGAGGCAAGAAGAAUCUAGACGGACAGGCCUGGUUGGGUUUCCACUCAGUCCAUUAGCAUUGGAUCAGGCCCUUUUUGUCCAACCUUAUCUCUACAUGGCUGCCCAUACUUUGUUGAAGCAAAGCAUAAAAAUGGACAGCUUCCCCUGUAUCUUUAUGUCUUCAUUCUAAAGGCUCCUCUGUAUACAUGUUAAUAAAAUUUUUAUCCAAUUAAUCUACCUCUUGCAAGUUGGUUUUUCAGUAAACCUUUCAAGGGUAAAGGGGAAAGCUCUUCUUUGCCCCAUACAUCCCAACGAUCUCUAAUCAUUUUUAAAUAUACAUAAUUUCAACUUUUAGAUUUGGGGGUCCAUGUGCAGGUUUGUUACCUGGGUAUAUUGCAUGAUGCUGAGGUUUGGGGUGUGAAUGACCCCAUCAUCCAGGUAGUGAGCAUAGAUAGCACUCAAUAGGUAGUUUUUCAGCCCAUGACCCCCCUCCCUCUUUCCCCACUCUAGGAGUCCUCAGUGUCUAUUGUUUCCAUCUUUAUGUCUAUGAGUACCCAUUGUUUAGCUCCCACUUAUAAGUGAGAAACGUGGUAUUUGAUUUUCUGUUCCUGCAUUAAUUCAGUUAGGAUAAUGGCCUCCAGCUGCAUCCAUGUUGCUGCAAAGGACAUGAUUUCAUUCUUCUUUGUGGCUGCAUAGUAUUCCAUGGUGUAUAUGUGUAACAUUUUUUUUAUCCAAUCCACCAUUGAUGGGCUCCUAGGUUGAUUCCUUGUCUCUACUGUUAUGAAUAGGGCUACAAUAAACGUACAACUACA